GCCGUCGUAGGGGUUACCAAGUCACUUUUAUUUUAAGAAGUUAGGAUAUUCGGCCAAGUCAUAGGAAUAUAGGCAAGCAAAAUAACACAGUAGUCAAGUUGAGUAGUGUAAGAGGCACUUCUUUAGCAAGGGAAUAUCUGGAAGCCUGAUCAACUUUCAUUUGUUCUUUCUCCCGGGAGGUUCAGGUAACAAGUAUGUUGCAUGACUAAGUGGUGUAAAUUGUCAGAAAUUAUUUGACUUAAUUGCUUCCUUAUUGAAUUAAAGUGUGGUAGUACAAGUUUUGUGAAGUUAAGGGGGGAGUAUGUGGCCGAUUCAUUUAAGAGAUUUAUUUAUUUACUUGUUUAUUUUUAUAUGCAAGUAAUAGUUAACUUCAGCAAAACUUGCAUCUAAUGUUUUGUUUUAUUCACUUCAAGAGUUCCUAUGUUUGUUGUAGGUGGGGCUGUAAAUAGUGUAACACCGGGUGAAUGUUAAAGCUUCCCUCUGUGUGCCCACGCUCAGUCGCGUGGUGCACGCAGAUGGUGAAGCAGAGGAUUGAGAGGGUUUCCAGUGUUAAACUAUACUGACUGUGCCUCACUGUUUUGUUAAGGUAUGUUGUUUUGGUUAUUGGCUUGUUAUUUUAAGGAUUCAAAUAUGUAAAUCAGUUCAAAUUACAGUAAUGGUGUCAUUUAAUUGUGUCAUGGCAGAUUUUCAACUAAUAAUUUAAUUAAUGCAAACAAAAAGGGUUUUAUUUUAUCAGUGAUCAAAAGAAAAUUAAUGCAAUUUACAAUUAACAGUUAUUUAAUGUUACAUAUUUUAUUUAUAUUAUGCAAUUUAUGUGAUUUUGUUUUUAUUGGCAUUUAAAUGUUUAAAAUAGUAAAAUACAUAUUUCUCUGUGUGCCUGCUCAGUCGCGUGGUGCACGCAGAUGGUGAAGCAGAGGAUUGAGAGGGUUUCCAGUGUUAAACUAUACUGACUGUGCCUCACUGUUUUGUUAAGGGAAUAAAUCAGUGUUUCUCCACCUC